UUGAUAAACCUCGUGAAUGAUCGAAGACCACGUGGCCUGGAAGUAGUGGUAGACGAGGACUUAAUGGCCGACACACAGCUAGGCGUCGGAAACCUUUUGAUCAUGCCCGACACGACCGCUAGUGUACUCGUGGUCUAAGCCGACCACUUUGUACUAGUCGUCGACAAGUAAUUGCUCCAUGGUGUGGAUGGAGUUCUCCAUCCAGAUUGGGUCAUUUGUGUACACCCUUGAGA
rnacentral:lncRNA from 1 species